GGUUGGGUUGGGUUGAGUUGGGUUGUGUUGGGUUUUGUUGGGUUGGUUGAGUUGGGUUGGGUUUUGUUGGGUUGAGUUGGGUUGGAUGGAUUGACCGAGGUUGGGUUGGAUUGAGUUGGGUUGGAUUGAGUUGGGUUCAUUGGGUUGACUCAGGUUGGGUUGGGUUGGUUGGAUUGGGUUGGGUUUGGUUGUGUUGGAUUGGAUUGGGUUGGUUGAGUUGGGUUGGGUUGGGUUGGGUUGAUUGAUUGGGUUUAUUUAUUGGUCGGGUUGAUUCACUGGGUUGAUUUGAUUGAUUGGUUGAUUGGGUUGGCUGAUUGAGUGAUUGGUUGGUUGGAUUGGCUUGAUUGGUUGGGCUGAUUCAUUGGGUUGAUUGGGCUGAUUUAUUGGGUUGAUUGGGUUGAUUCGUUGGGUUGAUUGAUUGGAUCAGUUGUGUUGAUUGAUUGGAUCAAUUGUGUGGAUUGAUUGGUUGAUUGAUUGGAUCAAUGUGGUUCAUUGGUCGGUUGAUUGGGUUUAUUGGUUGGUUUGAUUCAUUGGCUGAUUGGUUGAGCUGAUUGGUUGAUUGGGUUGAUUGAUUGGUUGGGUUGGUUUGGUUGAUUGGAUCAAUCAGGUUGAUUGAUCAAUCAGACUGAUUGAUUGAUUGAUUGAUAGACUGCCACCGCGGGGCGCUGACCUGGAAGUCAUGGUGCAGCCGGCGUGGGGGUUGAUUGGGUUUAUUGAUCGGGUUAAUUGAUUGCGUUGACUGAUCGAUCGAUCGAUUGAUCGAUGGGAUCGAUGGAUUGCCACGGCGGGGCGCUGACCUGGAAGCAGGUCAUGGUGGAGCCGGCGUGGGGGUUGAUUGGGUUUAUUGAUCGGGUUUACUGGUCAGGUUAAUUGAUUGGGUUGACUGAUCGAUCGAUCGAUCAAUCGAUCGGAUCGAUGGAUCGGCACGGCGGGGCGCUGACCUGGAAGAAGGUCAUGGUGGAGCCGGCGUGGAUGGUGCCGUACUCGAUGUUGGUCUGGUCGGCGAGGUCGUCGGCCGACUCCACCGGCACCUCCAUGCGCUGCACGGUCAGGAACGCCGCCAGGUUGGCCGUGUACGACGAGAUGAUGAUGAGGGUGAAGGCCCACCUGCCCCCCCAAAAAAAAUCACCGGAAACGUCAAAAACAAAAUUAUUCCAAAAAUCCAAAACGAAGGACCCCAAAAAUCCCACAAAAAACUGCUCCAAACCCCACAGAAAUCGCCCCAAAAAUUUAAAAAAAAUCGCC
rnacentral:lncRNA from 1 species